AAGAGCCCAUGGCGAAAUCCGCCGUCGUCCCGGCGGUCCGGAUAUUUCGCGUACAGGAGAGACGCUUCCGAACGCCGACUCCGGUGUAAGUCCCCCUGACUGGGGCUCCUACCCCGAGAGGGUGCAAGGCCCGUAGCGGCCGGAAGUCGGUUUCGGAUGUCCUCUCCGGGGAGUCGGGUUGCUUGAGAGUGCAGCCCAAACGGGUGGUAAACUCCAUCUAAGGCUAAAUACGACCUGGAGACCGAUAGCGAACAAGUACCGUGAGGGAAAGUUGAAAAGGACUUUGAAGAGAGAGUUCAAGAGUACGUGAAACCGUUCGAAGGUAAACGAGUGGGCCCUCGAAGUGAGAAGGCGGGGGGACUCAGCCGAACGCCCGGACCAGUCCGCGCGCCCGCGCUUCCUACCAGGACGCGGCGCGCGGGAGAUCGGACCGGGUUUCCGGCGCAUUUCCUCCCGUCCUCAGACGCUGCGACCGGUCGGGCGUGCCACGAGCGGUCGGMCUUACUCGCGGGGACCGGAAGGUAGCCGGGACUGCGCUCCAGCGCUUUCCCGGUGUUCUAGCCACCCCGUCGCGUGUCGCCGUUCGCCCGACCGAAGGACUCGGCCCUCAGGGGCCUCUCCGUGCUCUCCCCGUGGGGGAACGGUCGCUCCCGCGCAGGGUCGCGGUCGCCACCGCCGUUUCACCUCCGGUGUGCGGCGGGCGGCUGCGCCUGCUGGUGCGGGAGCUUCCGCGCGAGCGCAGGAGGUCUGCAGCGAGUA
rnacentral:rRNA from 1 species